rnacentral:lncRNA from 1 species
GGCUCGGUUCAUCAAUUGCAGAUUUCGGAGCAGACAAUGCCAACCAAUUCCCUACUUCACAAAGCAGACUCCUCGCUUCCUCUUCCUAUCUUGUCCAUGUUUCGUGUGUUGGUAGAUUUUCCUUUACCAAAAAAAAAAAAAAAAAAAGUUCAGUUCAGUAAUUAAGAUUAAGAUUAAUAUUAAAUCUAAAUCUUAGAUCUAACCUGAACGCAAACUUCGGAUGCAUGACACUGUGGACGAACAUUAUUACAGUCGAUCUCGCCAAUGCCCUUACGGCCCCAC